rnacentral:lncRNA from 1 species
UUUUGAGCCGAGUAUGUUGGUGCAAAAGUAAUUGCGGUUUUUGCUAUUACGUUUAAUGGCAAAGCUGCAAUUACUUUUACACCAACCUAAUAAAAUUCCAUAGAUGGGUGGCUUAUAAACAGCAGGGGUCUAUGUCUAUGGUUCUCGACCACAGUCUCUAUCCUGGAUUCCAGGAUCAAGGCAGCUGCAGAUUCAGUGUCUGCUGGGAACCUGGUUUCUGGUUCGGAGAUGGCACCUUCUCACCGUGUCCUCACGUGGUGGAACGGAUGAACACCCUCCCGCAGGACUCUUUUGUAAGGGCACCCAUCCCGUUCCCCCGGACUCCGUUACAAGGGCACCCAUCCCGUUCCCCCGGACUCCGUUACUAGGGCACCCAUCCCGUUCCCCCGGACUCCAAGGGCACCCAUCCCGUUCCCCCGGACUCCAAGGGCACCCAUCCCGUUCCCCCGGACUCCGUUACAAGGGCAGCCAUCCCAUCCCCCGGACUCUGUUAUAAGGGCACCCAUCCCGUUCCCCCGGACUCUGUUACAAGGGCACCCAUCCCGCUCCCCCGGACUCCGUUACAAGGGCACCCAUCCCGUUUCCCCGGACUCCGUUACAAGGGCACCCAUCCCGUUUCCCCGGACUCCGUUACAAGGGCACCCAUCCCGUUUCCCCGGACUCUGUUACAAGGGCACCCAUCCCGUUUCCCCGGACUCUGUUACAAGGGCACCCAUCCCGUUUCCCCGGACUCUGUUACAAGGGCACCCAUCCCGUUUCCCAGGACUCUGUUACAAGGGCACCCAUCCCGUUUCCCCGGACUCUGUUACAAGGGCACCCAUCCCGUUCCCCCGGACUCUGUUACAAGGGCACCCAUCCCGUUCCCCUGGACUCCGUUACAAGGGCACCCAUCCCGUUCCCCUGGACUCCGUUACAAGGGCACCCAUCCCGUUCCCCUGGACUCCGUUACAAGGGCACCCAUCCCGUUCCCCCGGACUCUGUUAUAAGGGCACCCAUCCCGUUCCCCCGGACUCCGUUACAAGGGCACCCAUCCCGUUCCCCCGGACUCUGUUAUAAGGGCACCCAUCCCGUUCCCCCGGACUCUGUUACAAGGGCAGCCAUCCCGUUCCCCCGGACUCCGUUACAAGGGCACCCAUCCCGUUCCCCUGGACUCUGUUACAAGGGCACCCAUCCCGUUUCCCCGGACUCUGUUACACCCAUCCCGCUCCCCCGGACUCUGUUAUAAGGGCACCCAUCCCGUUCCCCCGGACUCCGUUACAAGGGCACCCAUCCCGUUCCCCCGGACUCUGUUACAAGGGCACCCAUCCCGUUCCCCCGGACUCUGUUACAAGGGCACCCAUCCCGUUCCCCCGGACUCUGUUACAAGGGCACCCAUCCCGUUCCCCCGGACUCUGUUACAAGGGCACCCAUCCCGUUCCCCCGGACUCUGUUACAAGGGCACCCAUCCCGUUCCCCCGGACUCUGUUACAAGGGCACCCAUCCCGUUCCCCUGGACUCCGUUACAAGGGCACCCAUCCCGUUCCCCUGGACUCCGUUACAAGGGCACCCAUCCCGUUCCCCCGGACUCUGUUAUAAGGGCACCCAUCCCGUUCCCCCGGACUCCGUUACAAGGGCACCCAUCCCGUUCCCCCGGACUCUGUUAUAAGGGCACCCAUCCCGUUCCCCCGGACUCUGUUACAAGGGCAGCCAUCCCGUUCCCCCGGACUCCGUUACAAGGGCACCCAUCCCGUUCCCCUGGACUCUGUUACAAGGGCACCCAUCCCGUUUCCCCGGACUCUGUUACACCCAUCCCGCUCCCCCGGACUCUGUUAUAAGGGCACCCAUCCCGUUCCCCUGGACUCCGUUACAAGGGCACCCAUCCCGUUCCCCUGGACUCCGUUACAAGGGCACCCAUCCCGUUCCCCCGGACUCUGUUAUAAGGGCACCCAUCCCGUUCCCCCGGACUCCGUUACAAGGGCACCCAUCCCGUUCCCCCGGACUCUGUUAUAAGGGCACCCAUCCCGUUCCCCCGGACUCCGUUACAAGGGCACCCAUCCCGUUUCCCCGGACUCUGUUACAAGGGCACCCAUCCCGUUCCCCCGGACUCCGUUACAAGGGCACCCAUCCCGUUCCCCCGGACUCCGUUACAAGGGCACCCAUCCCGUUCCCCUGGACUCCGUUACAAGGGCACCCAUCCCGUUCCCCCGGACUCUGUUAUAAGGGCACCCAUCCCGUUCCCCCGGACUCUGUUACAAGGGCACCCAUCCCGUUCCCCCGGACUCCGUUACAAGGGCACCCAUCCCGUUCCCCCGGACUCUGUUACAAGGGCACCCAUCCCGUUCCCCCGGACUCCGUUACAAGGGCACCCAUCCCGUUCCCCUGGACUCCGUUACAAGGGCACCCAUCCCGUUCCCCCGGACUCUGUUAUAAGGGCACCCAUCCCGUUCCCCCGGACUCCGUUACAAGGGCACCCAUCCCGUUCCCCCGGACUCUGUUAUAAGGGCACCCAUCCCGUUCCCCCGGACUCUGUUACAAGGGCAGCCAUCCCGUUCCCCCGGACUCCGUUACAAGGGCACCCAUCCCGUUCCCCUGGACUCUGUUACAAGGGCACCCAUCCCGUUUCCCCGGACUCUGUUACACCCAUCCCGCUCCCCCGGACUCUGUUAUAAGGGCACCCAUCCCGUUCCCCUGGACUCCGUUACAAGGGCACCCAUCCCGUUCCCCUGGACUCCGUUACAAGGGCACCCAUCCCGUUCCCCCGGACUCUGUUAUAAGGGCACCCAUCCCGUUCCCCCGGACUCCGUUACAAGGGCACCCAUCCCGUUCCCCCGGACUCUGUUAUAAGGGCACCCAUCCCGUUCCCCCGGACUCCGUUACAAGGGCACCCAUCCCGUUUCCCCGGACUCUGUUACAAGGGCACCCAUCCCGUUCCCCCGGACUCCGUUACAAGGGCACCCAUCCCGUUCCCCCGGACUCCGUUACAAGGGCACCCAUCCCGUUCCCCUGGACUCCGUUACAAGGGCACCCAUCCCGUUCCCCCGGACUCUGUUAUAAGGGCACCCAUCCCGUUCCCCCGGACUCUGUUACAAGGGCACCCAUCCCGUUCCCCCGGACUCCGUUACAAGGGCACCCAUCCCGUUCCCCCGGACUCUGUUACAAGGGCACCCAUCCCGUUCCCCCGGACUCCGUUACAAGGGCACCCAUCCCGUUCCCCCGGACUCCGUUACAAGGGCACCCAUCCCGUUCCCCUGGACUCCGUUACAAGGGCACCCAUCCCGUUCCCCCGGACUCUGUUAUAAGGGCACCCAUCCCGUUCCCCCGGACUCUGUUACAAGGGCACCCAUCCCGUUCCCCCGGACUCCGUUACAAGGGCACCCAUCCCGUUCCCCCGGACUCUGUUACAAGGGCACCCAUCCCGUUCCCCCGGACUCCGUUACAAGGGCACCCAUCCCGUUCCCCUGGACUCCGUUACAAGGGCACCCAUCCCGUUCCCCCGGACUCUGUUAUAAGGGCACCCAUCCCGUUCCCCCGGACUCCGUUACAAGGGCACCCAUCCCGUUCCCCCGGACUCUGUUACAAGGGCACCCAUCCCGUUCCCCCGGACUCCGUUACAAGGGCACCCAUCCCGUUCCCCCGGACUCCGUUACAAGGGCAGCCAUCCCGUUCCCCCGGACUCCGUAACAAGGGCACCCAUCCCGUUCCCCUGGACUCUGUUACAAGGGCACCCAUCCCGUUCCCCCGGACUCCGUUACAAGGGCACCCAUCCCGUUCCCCCGGACUCCGUUACAAGGGCACCCAUCCCGUUCCCCCGGACUCCGUUACAAGGGCACCCAUCCCGUUCCCCCGGACUCUGUUACAAGGGCACCCAUCCCGUUCCCCCGGACUCUGUUACAAGGGCAGCCAUCCCGUUCCCCCGGACUCUGUUAUAAGGGCACCCAUCCCGUUCCCCCGGACUCUGUUAUAAGGGCACCCAUCCCGUUCCCCCGGACUCCGUUACAAGGGCACCCAUCCCGUUCCCCUGGACUCCGUUACAAGGGCACCCAUCCCGUUCCCCCGGACUCUGUUAUAAGGGCACCCAUCCCGUUCCCCCGGACUCUGUUACAAGGGCACCCAUCCCGUUCCCCCGGACUCCGUUACAAGGGCACCCAUCCCGUUCCCCCGGACUCUGUUAUAAGGGCACCCAUCCCGUUCCCCCGGACUCUGUUACAAGGGCAGCCAUCCCGUUCCCCCGGACUCUGUUAUAAGGGCACCCAUCCCGUUCCCCCGGACUCUGUUACAAGGGCAGCCAUCCCGUUCCCCCGGACUCUGUUAUAAGGGCACCCAUCCCGUUCCCCGGACUCUGUUCCCUGAUUGUCUUGCAUAGGGCUCUCCGUCUAAUAGCAUCACCUCGGUUAAGAUCUCAGCAUUAAUUUGGGGGAGGGGCAUAAACAUCCAGUCAUUGCAAAUACCAUGUGGGCAAACAAAGUAGGUCCAAGGUUGCUGGAUGGUGCCUUCUGAAAAGUCAUCUGGUAGACCGAGGCUGUUUCAGUAAGGCAGCACAGUCAGGAGGGAGGGAGUCUCCAGCCAGAUGGCUCGGCUCAGAUCCCAGCUCUGGUGCUUGCUAGCUGUGUGAAGAUGAGCUGGGAUUUUAUCUAACUGUGUCUCAUUUCCAUAUCUUUAAAAUGGGUGCUAGCACAACACCUACCUCAUCCACUUAGGAGGAGCUGAUGAGUAUCAACGAUCCAGAGAGUUCCUGGCCCGCAGCUGGCACACAGUCCACGUUACUGUCAGACAGUGGGGAGAAAAGAGUUUCCUCAUUCUCCUGGUGGGCCGUUCUCAUUGCAAUGUUGCUUUUGUUCCACAAGAACACAUCCUCCACUCCCUGGAAGAUGCAACUCCUACGGAAACUGAGUCCAAUGAUCAAAGGCACUGGCAUUCAGAGGGGACCCACUGAUAAUUGCCGACUACACAGGAGCUGUCUUCCAUAACUCCUCAGAGAGCACGUUGGCCCUACAAAUGCAAAUCCAACAUUCAGCCACGACCUCCCAUGUGCCAAGUGUCAUGGGAUUCAUGCUUUCAAACCAUCGGUUCCAGUUAAGACUCAUAUAAUGAAACAGAUGGGUUCACAUGAUUUUAGUUUAUAUGGGAAGAAGCUUUAGACUAAAGCAGAGGGAGGUAAACUUACAGGCAAGCAGGAAGGCUUGAAGGCUUGAGUGUUCUUGGAGGCUCACGGCUGGGUGCAGGCUGACCUUGGGUGAGAGCCCUCGUUCAUUGCCCCGUGACACUGUCCUUCCUGUGUUUUCAAACGGCCUCUUGUUCCUGGUCAAUAUCCUCUGCGCUUCUCUUUGGGGAUUUAGGACACCACGACAUUCUCUUCAUUGUCCAAGGAAACCAUUCUCCUCAUCUAGAAACAUCAUCGAUUUCUGAAGUUAAAUUGAGACCAGAGUGGAUUCUGCACAUCAGUCUCUCCCCUUUCCCUCUGUGACUGUGGACUCUGGGAGGGUUGAAGGGAGGUGGUGCCAAUGGCAAAGACAUGCUCUGAUGGUGCGGCUUUUCCACAGGCCUUUCUUAAGCUGUGACUGGGUCUCAGAUCUUUCUUCAGACCUGAGGGAUGUUUAGAGUGGAGGAUGUUUGCAACCAUCAGUCUUCCGUCAUGUUACACUGGAGUUUCGUGGCAGUGACGUGAAUUAAAGAGUAAUA